CCAAAACUUAAAAAUUAACAGAAGACUGAAUUAAUUAAAAAAAAAGCAUACUAACUAAUCAAAACAAUCCACUGUGCAAUGAAUAUUUGAACAAUGAAAAAAACCUACCAAGCAUCCUAAUCAAUUAUAUAGUUCUUGCUUCCAUAUUUUAAUUCUGGACUUUCAGGAUGGUAAAUUAUUAAACAGGUCGAUUUCAUGGACUGUCUAAACCUUGUAGUAUUUCAAAAUAUUACCCUUUCUAAACCAAAUCUGUGGUCCUAAUCAACUUUUUUUCCAAGAAAAAGAAACGAUAUGUGUUUAAAAUACAUUCCGUAGCAGUAGAAACAUCUUAGUGUCUCAAAAUACUAUUUACAAAGAACCCUGCUGAUCCUGUGCAUUUCGCUGAGGUGCUACUUGCACCCAGACUUCAUCAUCUGAAAAAGAACUUGAACUUCCUGACUCAGAGUCCAGCUCACUGAAUCCAUCUAAGUCCCAUUCAGUACUAGACUCACUCCGUGCAUCAUCUUCCUCAGUAAUAAAACUCUGACCAGGUUCAAGGCAGGAAGGAUAAACACGAGCACAAAGGCAAAUAAAGCCAGAGUCAAACUGCAAAAGGCCUAACAUGGUACCUAUAUUAAUCCACUGAUCUUCCCUAGUAUCAUACUCAUACACUGUCACUCGGUUCUUUUUCCAUUGUGGGGUUGUAGAAGUGAUGAGAAGCAACUUUUGGUCAUGAUUGACAAUCUGGUAGUUGUGGGUCUCUGAAUCCAAAGGAAUAUUACUAAUCCGCCUCCAUUCUCCCCUAGCUGGGUUGUAGACCUUCAUGACUGGGAUGUCACAGAUACAAUAGAUUUCAUCAUUGAAGACACAUGCUUCCUGAAAGUCACUACGUUUAAGAGAAGCACAGUUCAGCCACAUAUUGUGGCUAGGAUCAUAGCAAAGCAUGCGCUUACUGUUGACAGCAUAAAGAUAGUUCUGAACCACUAUGAGUUCAAAGGAAUAGAAGGAAUGAGGGACAGGAGCCACCAAUGCCCACUGGUUUCUCUGAACACUGUAGCAUUCCACUUCCUUCAACUUAACUCCAGUAAUAGGGUCUCGUCCCCCCAAAAUGUAGAUGUAGCCAUUGAGAUAUGCCACAUCCAUGCCCUCACGACACAGCAAGCGAUCUGCAAGUUGCUGCCAACUAUUCUGAGCUGGUUUAUACACCCAGAGGUCUUUCCUGGGCUGAGCAGCUAGAUAGAUGUCAUGGUCUGGGGACACACAGACAGCUGAGGAGGUGACAGUCUUAGUGUGAGCAAAGCUGGUCAAAGGGGAUGGCAUUGUGUAAAUGUCCCCCGAGUAAGGGUCAUAGCAGAGAAAGGGAUCUCUAGGAUGUCCAAAGAAGAUCACCAUCUCCUUGGCACACAUACCCAGUCUCUGGGGUGGAUUUUCUGCUGCAGAUACAAGAGAGUUGCUGCUGCUACUGCUGCUGCUGCUGUUUGGCACUGGCACCAGAGACUUGUACAACAGGUCACCAUAGCGCAUCUGCAGGGCCCCUUCAAUAACGUCCAGGCAGUACUUCUUCACGAUGGGCUUGGUCAGCAGCCCUUCUAAGUAGUCCUGAUCUUCUUCAGUGAAGUGCAUCCAGCGCACGCACUUGAAGACUUCUGCAGCACUGGGACCCCGCUCUUUGGCAGCAGCCUCCAGCCACUGCACAGCUACAUGGCAUACAGUCCGCUCACUCUCUAUGUCCAGACUAUCCAGGCGUAGGACAGCCAGCAGCUGGGCCAGGGUUAGAUCUGCUAGAGUCUCCUCCCGAAUUGAACCCAUUCGGCUGAGCUGCUUGAAGUUGUGAGCUAUGUAGGACUGGGCCUGAGAUCGAAGCUUGUGAUGGUCGAAGGCGUCUGCAAACUUGAGGAUGGCGGUGCAGUUGGUCAGGUCAAGACGUCGGGCUAAGAAGGAGGCACAGGCUUCCCGCACAUAUUCCAGCUGUAGCAUGUCGGAGGCCGCGUACAGGCGCUGCACAUUGGCCUCACUGAGAGACACACGACCCGUGUAGCAGUAGUCGACCAACACCUCGAAGGACUCGGCGUCCACAUCGUGCAUGGUCACGCUGGCCUGCUGGCUCUCGUACAUGCCACCUGUGAACAUGCUCUUGAAGUAGGGACACGCAGCUGCUAGCACGUUGCGAUUGCAGGAAAAGAGGCGACCCGUGCCAGGCCCGCUGCCAGGCGUCACCACCUCGAUGGUCACAUCACACAGCAGCCGCGCGUCGUAGAAGGACUUGAGCUGUGCCAGCAGGGCUGCAGAAUGGGCUUGGAAAUCCUCUUGGGCCGCCUCCCUUUAUUGCAUAGACAGUGGCUGACUCACCCUCUCUCACUCCCGCGCCCUUU
rnacentral:lncRNA from 1 species